rnacentral:rRNA from 1 species
GACGAACGCUGGCGGCGUGCUUAACACAUGCAAGUCGAACGGAAAGGCCCUGCUUUUGUGGGGUGCUCGAGUGGCGAACGGGUGAGUAACACGUGAGUAACCUGCCCUUGACUUUGGGAUAACUUCAGGAAACUGGGGCUAAUACCGGAUAGUAGCUCCUGCUGCAUGGUGGGGGUUGGAAAGUUUCGGCGGGUGGGGAUGGACUCGCGGCUUAUCAGCUUGUUGGUGGGGUAGUGGCUUACCAAGGCUUUGACGGGUAGCCGGCCUGAGAGGGUGACCGGCCACAUUGGGACUAAGAGACGGCCCAGACUCCUACGGGAGGCAGCAGUGGGGAGUAUUGCACAAUGGGCGGAAGCCUGAUGCAGCAACGCCGCGUGCGGGAUGACGGCCUUCGGGUUGUAAACCGCUUUCGCCUGUGACGAAGCGUGAGUGACGGUAAUGGGUAAAGAAGCACCGGCUAACUACGUG